UCUUGAUCGAUCUCAACUUGUUUUAUCUAUAAUAAUAAAGUUGACAAGAAACCCUCCACGAUGAGCCACGUCUCAUCCCCUCCUAUACCCAAACUUCGCCACGUGUCAAUCAGCUGUGUGUCUUCUCAUUCUCUCGCUGAGCUGCUUCAUCUUCUCAGACGACGUUACAGCCUGCGUAAAUUUUAAUCAAUUAAGAGGUUAUGUUCAUUGUUAUUCAAACCGAUCCACCAUGGCGACUUCUCAGGUCAUUUAUCGGAGCUGAAGGCUGGCCGCUGCAUAGAGACUGUUCAGACGAGUCUGCUCCGUUUUUGGGAAUCUUAGAACGUGAAGAAAAGCAAAGAGAUGAUGGGCGUGGAUAUGCUACUUAUUGAUCUAAGGUUAUCCUAAAGGGCAACAAGCCCAACAACCCAAUCCUUUUAUCAUUAUCACUUCGCCUCUGUCGUCUCCAAAUCCCAUUCUUUCCACAGGCUGUUUGUAACCGACAAAGUUAAGUGCAUCCUCCACUCUCCAGCGAUUAAUUUUUAGCUCUUUAUGAUGGCGUUCACUCGAACAGUGAAUCAUGAGGCUGGUUUAUGUGGUUUCUCAUCUGGUAUGUUCUUCUCUGACAGUCGAUUCUCAGUUAUGCAGAUGGGUCCUUCCUAUAUGCCGAGUUGGUGGAAGAGAAAAAGUAUGGAAUUUGGAUACCAAGGUUCUACCAGUCCCUGCCUCUGAGUUACUCUUGGCACUUUCUCAGUGGAGCAGUAAUAUGGAGUACAAUACCCUUCGAAACUUCACUUGGACGUUGUCAGGGCAGACAUAAUAAGCACUCAUUACAAGUGUUGUGUAGCCACGGGGUGUCAUACGACUCAUACCUCCUAAUAGAGUGAGAGUUGCUAUGGAAAUGCAGGCUCAAGCUAAAGUAAAAAUAGAGCACAUACGGGAACACCAAGCCCAUAUCAACAUCGUUGAUAGAAAGGAAAGUUGAGUUUUUAUCUUUUUAUUUGCGACUCAAAGUAGAUUUCACGACAAUGUUUUUAUUUCCUUUUUCUGUUCCUAGCUUAAUUGGGUUUUAUUGAUGUUAUUAAUGUAUAAAAGGCCACCUGCUCAAGAUUUCAUCGCAAUUUUCCUUUUAGAGAUUCGAAGUUUAGAUAUGGUCCUCUGCUUGAGGUUUCAACAGUGUACCAUCACUGGGUUCAAUACACUAGAGCACAUUGGUAGACUUCUACUCUUCAGGUAUCUCUUUAAAGUGUUUCAGAGGGUCGAAGAGUUCUCUGCUUUGAAGUCCCCAACACAAUCCUCACUCGAUUUUGUCUUGGAGGCACUAUGAGAUGAGAGCAUUAAAACGGAUCCAGUUUUUGUAUUCAUUUUCGAUUCUUCUUGCAUAUCUCUAUUUUCAUUAUGUGUUUGUUAGUCGUGGAUUGAUCAUUUCUUUUUGUUCUGCGUACGAUAUUAUCAAGUUUUCAGUCACUGUUUGUCAAUUAUUAAGAUAAGCUCUAGCCUCUCA